rnacentral:rRNA from 1 species
CACGUAGGGCGCAAGCGUUGUCCGGAAUUAUUGGGCGUAAAGAGCUCGUAGGCGGCUUGUUGCGUCGACUGUGAAAACCCGCGGCUUAACUGCGGGCUUGCAGUUGAUACGGGCAGGCUAGAGUUCGGUAGGGGAGACUGGAAUUCCUGGUGUAGCGGUGAAAUGCGCAGAUAUCAGGAGGAACACCGGUGGCGAAGGCGGGUCUCUGGGCCGAUACUGACGCUGAGGAGCGAAAGCGUGGGGAGCGAACAGG